CCUAACACAUGCAAGUCGAGCGGCAGCGGAAAGUAGCUUGCUACUUUGCCGGCGAGCGGCGGACGGGUGAGUAAUGUCUGGGAAACUGCCUGAUGGAGGGGGACAACUACUGGAAACGGUAGCUAAUACCGCAUAACGUCGCAAGACCAAAGAGGGGGACCUUCGGGCCUCUUGCCAUCAGAUGUGCCCAGAUGGGAUUAGCUAGUAGGUGGGGUAACGGCUCACCUAGGCGACGAUCCCUAGCUGGUCUGAGAGGAUGACCAGCCACACUGGAACUGAGACACGGUCCAGACUCCUACGGGAGGCAGCAGUGGGGAAUAUUGCACAAUGGGCGCAAGCCUGAUGCAGCCAUGCCGCGUGUAUGAAGAAGGCCUUCGGGUUGUAAAGUACUUUCAGCGGGGAGGAAGGUGUUGAGGUUAAUAACCUCAGCAAUUGACGUUACCCGCAGAAGAAGCACCGGCUAACUCCGUGCCAGCAGCCGCGGUAAUACGGAGGGUGCAAGCGUUAAUCGGAAUUACUGGGCGUAAAGCGCACGCAGGCGGUCUGUCAAGUCGGAUGUGAAAUCCCCGGGCUCAACCUGGGAACUGCAUUCGAAACUGGCAGGCUAGAGUCUUGUAGAGGGGGGUAGAAUUCCAGGUGUAGCGGUGAAAUGCGUAGAGAUCUGGAGGAAU
rnacentral:rRNA from 1 species